rnacentral:rRNA from 1 species
UACGUAGGCAGCGAGCGUUGUUCGGAGUUACUGGGCGUAAAGGGUGCGUAGGCGGUUGUUUAAGUUUGGUGUGAAAUCUCCCGGCUCAACUGGGAGGGUGCGCCGAAUACUGAAUGACUAGAGUGCGGGAGAGGAUAGUGGAAUUCCUGGUGUAGCAGUGAAAUGCGUAGAUAUCAGGAGGAACACCGAUGGCGAAGGCAGGUCUCUGGGCUGACACUGACGCUCAUGCACGAAAGCGUGGGGAGCAAACAGG